rnacentral:rRNA from 1 species
GAUGAACGCUGGCGGCGUGCCUAAUACAUGCAAGUCGAGCGAACAGACGAGGAGCUUGCUCCUCUGACGUUAGCGGCGGACGGGUGAGUAACACGUGGAUAACCUAUCUAUAAGACUGGGAUAACUUCGGGAAACCGGAGCUAAUACCGGAUAAUAUAUUGAACCGCAUGGUUCAAUAGUGAAUGACGGUUUUGCUGUCACUUAUAGAUGGAUCCGCGCCGCAUUAGCUAGUUGGUAAGGUAACGGCUUACCAAGGCAACGAUGCGUAGCCGACCUGAGAGGGUGAUCGGCCACACUGGAACUGAUACACGGUCCAGACUCCUACGGGAGGCAGCAGUAGGGACUCUUCCGCAAUGGGCGGAAGCCUGACGGAGCAACGCCGCGUGAGUGAUGAAGGUCUUCGGAUCGUAAAACUCUGUUAUUAGGGAAGAACAAAUGUGUAAGUAAGUAUGCACGUCUUGACGGUACCUAAUCAGAAAGCCACGGCUAACUACGUG